GGUCAUCCUAGACAUUCCAAAUCUCCACUUGUGGUUGCCAGUGUCCAUAGUGGUAAGAGAGAAUGCCUAUCAGUGUGCUUGCCAAAGAAGAUGAGGUUUAGUGGAAUGAGGAUUCUUUACCACUGAUAAAUAGCUGGAUGACCUGUACCCUUGACACUCUGCCCUUGUCCCCUCUGAAAAUCAUAACUUCAUCUACGGGACAGGCCUUUAUGUUUUGUGAUUGUUCCAAGUCCUCCAGAAGCUGGGGAAACCCAGGGGGAAGAGCUUACAGACUGCUUAGGGCUCUGAUUCGCUGGGCAUUGACAGAUUUUGAAGGGGGCGUGAGGUGGUCUGAGCUAGCACAAUGCUUCCAGAGGGUGUCUCCUUCCUCCUUCAGUCUGGUUUUAUUUUCCACAGGCAGAUCAUGA
rnacentral:lncRNA from 12 species